UAAUAUGCGACCUUCUGCUGUUUUUUCCCACUCAGCAUAAUGCCACUGAGAUCAUUCCAAGUAGUUGUGUACAUCGUUUGUUCCUUUCUACUGCUGAGUCACGUUCUCUGAUACUGCGGUUUGCUUAACCAUUCACCUACUGAAGGACAUUUGAGUUGCUUUCAGUGUUUGACUAUUACAGAUAACUUUGUGUAGCGGUUUUUGUGUGGUUGGGUAAUACCAAGUGACAAAUGCUUGUUUGGGGUAAGCACGUGGGGAAUGCCUGGUGUUGAGAGAGCACCUAGGAAGAAAAUUCAGCUUCACCAAGGAGAGUUAGAAAGGUGACAUCCUAAAGGGAAGAGGAUGAUUGUUCAUAAUGACAGGAAGCCCAAAGGAUAAGUAAUUCACCUUGCACUGAAUAUUCUGAGAAGAAGUACUUCUAAUUCCUGAAGACCUCCACUACCUUUGGUCCUUUGGUCCUUUGUUCCUUGGUGGAAGAAGUUCAAGGAGUACAAGUGUGCACCAGGAAUAAAGGAUAUCAGCUAGAAGUUAUUAACCAUGCCAUCUGAGAUUCCUGCUUAAACGAGCUGCAUCAACAGACCCCCUUCAGAGAAUAAGAAGACCCUGAGUGCACCUCAUCCAAUGAACAAACCAAAAUUACAGCUACUCAUAGAGAAACUAUUUAUGAGGACAAUCUGAAGACUGGCAGAAGGGCUUUCCACAACUAAAGAUAAAGAGAAGAAACCACAACCAGAUGAGUAGAAGGGGCAGAAUUAUCAAAACACCUGGGUAGGCAACCUACAAACAGGAGGAUAAUCACAACUGCAGGGGUUUUUCCCAAAGAGUGAAGGGUCCAAGCCUCACACUGGGCUUCCCAGCCAAGGGCUUCUGCACUGGGAAGAUGAUCCCUCAGAACACCCUCGUUCUGAAGGCCAACAGAGCAUUCAUGUGGGAGAGCUAGAGAGCCGAAGGAAACACAGACCUCAUUCUUAAAGGGUGCUCGCAAAAUGUCACACACUCUGACUUCCCAAGCAGAGAAGCAGUAAUUUGGAAGGAGCCUGAUCAGACCCACGUUCUGAUUCUGGAGAGCCUCCGAGAGAGGAAACAGGCAACUGGAACUUCCACUGAAGACACAGACACUGGCAGCAGCCAUUUUGCAGAGCUAAUUCUACCUUCAAUACACUGGUGGUGGCAAGUGCCAUUUUUCAUCCUCCAUCCAGCCAUUUAGUGUGGGAGACUUACCUGACCACCAACAGGCUGGUACCAGCACCAGGCCUCCCUGGCCCUGUAGCCAGUGUUCUGGGACCCAGCUCCACCCACCAGCAGGAGAGUACCAACCUUGGGCCCCUCAGCAAGCUGCCUCUAGAUGAGGCCCCUCUCACCAGCAGGUUCACACCAGCCUGGGCCCCUCGAAGCCCCACAACUGUUUGCCCCAGGACCCAGCCCUGUCACAACAGAAGGGCUCAUGCAGCCCGCGUAGGAAUCACCCACUGAUCAUAUAGCUCUGGUGACCAGCAUGCUGCUGGGCCCCAGUCCAUAUCUUACAUAAGGCUACUUUUUCUAGAUAGGAAAAUGUAACCAAUUUACCUAAUAGAUAAAAACAAAAACAGAGAGUCAGGCAAAAUGAGAUGAGAGAGGAAUAUGUUUCAAAUGAGGGAAUGAGAUAAAACCCCUGAAGAAUUAAUUAAAGUGGAGAUAAGCAAUUAGAAGCAAUCUACUCAAUAGAUCAAGGCAAAGAUCAUAAAGAUGUUCAGUGAGCUUGGGAGAAUGAAUGAACACAGUGAGAAGUUAAACAAAGAGUUAGAAAAUAUAAAAAAGAACCAAAAAAUAAAUAUAAUAACUAAAAUUACAAAUACACUAACUAGAAGGAACCAAAAAUAGAUUAGAUGAUACAGAGGAAUAGAACAAUGAACGGAUGGCAGAGUAGUGGAAAUCAAGCUAAACAGAAAAAACAAUUUUAAAAAGAAUAGAUUUAGGCCAUCUUUUAUGACUAUAAUACCUUGAGAUUAGAACUACAAGAAAUAAACCACAAAAAACACAAACACAUGGAGACAAAACAAUAUGCUACUAAAUGAUGAAUGUGUCCUUGAAAAACAUCAAGGGAGAACUAAAAAAAAAUACCUAGAGACAAAUGAAAACAAAAACGUAAUAAUCCAACAUGUAACAGCAAAAUCAGUUCUAAGAGGGAAGUUUAUAGUGAUACAAGCUUACCUCUGGAAACAAGAAAGUUAUCAAAAUUAUCUAAGCUUACACCUGAAGGAACUGGAAGAAAAAAGAGUCCCCAUUAGUGGAUGAAUGGACAAAGAAUAUGUGGUAAAUAAAUACAAUGAGUUAUAUUUUAGCUAUAAAAAAG